rnacentral:rRNA from 1 species
CAGGGAAUCUUGCGCAAUGGACGGGAGUCCGACGCAGCGACGCCGCGUGGGUGAAGACGGCCUUCGGGUUGUAAAGCCCUUUUCUGGGGGAAGAGAGAGGACGGUACUCCAGGAAUAAGUGUCGGCUAACUACGUGCCAGCAGCCGCGGUAAUACGUAGGACACGAGCGUUAUCCGGAUUUACUGGGCGUAAAGCGCCUGUAGGCGGUUCUUCAAGUCGUUUGUGAAAGCCCUGGGCUCAACCUGGGGAGGCCAAGCGAUACUGGAGGACUUGAGGGUGACAGAGGGGAGUGGAAUUUCCGGUGUAGCGGUAAAAUGCGCAGAUAUCGGGAGGAACACCAGUGGCGAAGGCGGCUCCCUGGGUCACCCCUGACGCUGAGAGGCGAAAGCUAGGGGAGCAAACAG